CAGCAGCCGCGGUAAUACGUAGGGUGCAAGCGUUAAUCGGAAUUACUGGGCGUAAAGCGUGCGCAGGCGGUUUGUUAAGACAGAUGUGAAAUCCCCGGGCUCAACCUGGGAACUGCAUUUGUGACUGGCAAGCUAGAGUAUGGCAGAGGGGGGUGGAAUUCCGCGUGUAGCAGUGAAAUGCGUAGAGAUGUGGAGGAAUACCGAUGGCGAAGGCAGCCCCCUGGGCCAAUACUGACGCUCAUGCACGAAAGCGUGGGGAGCAAACAGGAUUAGAUACCCGUGUAGUCCCUGUCUCUUAUAC
rnacentral:rRNA from 1 species